rnacentral:rRNA from 1 species
GGGUCAGUAGGUUGGUCGUGCCACCGGUACGUACUGGUCUCACUGAUUCCUCCUUCCUGAAGAACCGUAAUGCCAUUCAUUUGGUGUUGCGGGGAAACAGGACUGUUACUUUGAAAAAAUAAGAGUGUUUAAAGCAAGCUAACGCUUGAAUACAUUAGCAUGGAAUAAUGAAAUAGGACGAUCGAUCCUAUUUUGUUGGUUUCUAGGAUUGACGUA